UACGUAGGGCGCAAGCGUUGUCCGGAAUUAUUGGGCGUAAAGAGCUCGUAGGCGGUCUGUUGCGUCGGCUGUGAAAACUCGGGGCUCAACCCCGAGCCUGCAGCCGAUACGGGCAGACUAGAGUUCGGCAGGGGAGACUGGAAUUCCUGGUGUAGCGGUGAAAUGCGCAGAUAUCAGGAGGAACACCGGUGGCGAAGGCGGGUCUCUGGGCCGAUACUGACGCUGAGGAGCGAAAGCGUGGGGAGCAAACAGG
rnacentral:rRNA from 1 species